AUACGGAGGAUCCGAGCGUUAUCCGGAUUUAUUGGGUUUAAAGGGUGCGUAGGUGGUUUGAUAAGUCAGCGGUGAAAGUUUGCAGCUUAACUGUAAAAAUGCCGUUGAAACUGUCGGACUUGAGUGUAAAUGAGGUAGGCGGAAUGCGUGGUGUAGCGGUGAAAUGCAUAGAUAUCACGCAGAACUCCGAUUGCGAAGGCAGCUUACUAAGCUACAACUGACACUGAAGCACGAAAGCGUGGGGAUCAAACAGGAUUAGAUACCCUGGUAUUCCACGCCGUAAACGAUGAUGACUAACCGUCGGCGAUAGACAGCCGGUGGCCAAGCGAAAGCGAUAAGUCAUCCACCUGGGGAGUACGUCGGCAACGAUGAAACUCAAAUGAAUUGGCGGGG
rnacentral:rRNA from 1 species